rnacentral:rRNA from 1 species
GACGAACGCUGGCGGCGUGCUUAACACAUGCAAGUCGAACGGAAAGGCCCUGCUUUUGUGGGGUGCUCGAGUGGCGAACGGGUGAGUAACACGUGAGUAACCUGCCCUUGACUUUGGGAUAACUUCAGGAAACUGGGGCUAAUACCGGAUAGGAGCUCCUGCUGCAUGGUGGGGGUUGGAAAGUUUCGGCGGUUGGGGAUGGACUCGCGGCUUAUCAGCUUGUUGGUGGGGUAGUGGCUUACCAAGGCAUUGACGGGUAGCCGGCCUGAGAGGGUGACCGGCCACAUUGGGACUGAGAUACGGCCCAGACUCCUACGGGAGGCAGCAGUGGGGAAUAUUGCACAAUGGGCGGAAGCCUGAUGCAGCGACGCCGCGUGCGGGAUGACGGCCUUCGGGUUGUAAACCGCUUUCGCCUGUGACGAAGCGUGAGUGACGGUAAUGGGUAAAGAAGCACCGGCUAACUACGUG